CCUUCAUUCUUUUCAUGGAUAUAACGGAUUAAUUUUGACUCUAUGUGCGGAAGGUAGUAGACGUCGUGGAGAAGAUGUUAUUGUUGCAAUUAGUUUGAUUAGUCUUCUAAAUUAGGAUGAGAAUUGAUUGUGCUGAAGAGGUGGAAAAAACCAUUUAUUCUGAAAACAAAAUGUGAUUUCUGGGUAAACAUCAUAUUUCUCCCACACAAGGCUCAUCAAGUAUGAGUUAUCAUUGGGAUGCUAUUGAAAUUCUGGGAUGCUGUUGAAAUUCUUACUACAUUGGGAAGUGGUGAACCAAUGCAAAGGCUUGCCGAAAUCAUGCAUUGGCAGAAGUUACUCGAACACAUUAAGAAACCACAACUACAUGCCAUGGCAGCAAUUCCUUGAUUGGCUUGGCAUAAUUCGCCUUGAAAGAACUGCUAUUAAUGUGUGUGGCCUUCCAUAGAAGAAUUUCUACUUAUUGGAUGACUACUUUGAGUCUGUUGCCAGAAGAUUCACGCAAAGUAUUUGUGCAGUAAAAACAAAACGUGAGCUCUCCUCAUCCUCUGUCUUCAAAAAUAAGCGAUUCAAUGCUAAAUUACUAGUGUGAAAAUCCUCCAUCUAGCAAUUAUCUUCAUAACUUACACCUGCGGCAAAGAUGAUGGAGAUUCACUAAGCUACGCAUUGUGCCCUUGACAUUCCGGAAUAAAAUCUCACCGGGAUAAGUUUCCUAUCUGUCACAGUUCAGAAAACAACUCAGUACAUAGUAAUCCUGCUAAGCCGGAAGCAGAAAUGAAAGCUGAAUGAUGGGAGUUUUGCACACUUCUUCGAAUGACUUUUUGCAGGCCCGCGUAUUUCAGGAUCUAGAUUCUCACUCAACACCUCUGUUUCGAUCAUCCAACAUGCAAUGCCCAGACUCAUGCUGUGCUGCUUUUUUGUUUCUAAUUUCUCUUAUUUUAAGUAGUUUUGCUACUAUGCUAAUCAUUUGUUCAUUCAAUGCAAAUAACAUUAUUUUCCUUUU